rnacentral:rRNA from 494 species
AGAGUUUGAUCCUGGCUCAGGAUGAACGCUGGCGGCGUGCCUAAUACAUGCAAGUCGAGCGAACGGACGAGAAGCUUGCUUCUCUGAUGUUAGCGGCGGACGGGUGAGUAACACGUGGAUAACCUACCUAUAAGACUGGGAUAACUUCGGGAAACCGUAGCUAAUACCGGAUAAUAUUUUGAACCGCAUGGUUCAAAAGUGAAAGACGGUCUUGCUGUCACUUAUAGAUGGAUCCGCGCUGCAUUAGCUAGUUGGUAAGGUAACGGCUUACCAAGGCAACGAUGCAUAGCCGACCUGAGAGGGUGAUCGGCCACACUGGAACUGAGACACGGUCCAGACUCCUACGGGAGGCAGCAGUAGGGAAUCUUCCGCAAUGGGCGAAAGCCUGACGGAGCAACGCCGCGUGAGUGAUGAAGGUCUUCGGAUCGUAAAACUCUGUUAUUAGGGAAGAACAUAUGUGUAAGUAACUGUGCACAUCUUGACGGUACCUAAUCAGAAAGCCACGGCUAACUACGUGCCAGCAGCCGCGGUAAUACGUAGGUGGCAAGCGUUAUCCGGAAUUAUUGGGCGUAAAGCGCGCGUAGGCGGUUUUUUAAGUCUGAUGUGAAAGCCCACGGCUCAACCGUGGAGGGUCAUUGGAAACUGGAAAACUUGAGUGCAGAAGAGGAAAGUGGAAUUCCAUGUGUAGCGGUGAAAUGCGCAGAGAUAUGGAGGAACACCAGUGGCGAAGGCGACUUUCUGGUCUGUAACUGACGCUGAUGUGCGAAAGCGUGGGGAUCAAACAGGAUUAGAUACCCUGGUAGUCCACGCCGUAAACGAUGAGUGCUAAGUGUUAGGGGGUUUCCGCCCCUUAGUGCUGCAGCUAACGCAUUAAGCACUCCGCCUGGGGAGUACGACCGCAAGGUUGAAACUCAAAGGAAUUGACGGGGACCCGCACAAGCGGUGGAGCAUGUGGUUUAAUUCGAAGCAACGCGAAGAACCUUACCAAAUCUUGACAUCCUUUGACAACUCUAGAGAUAGAGCCUUCCCCUUCGGGGGACAAAGUGACAGGUGGUGCAUGGUUGUCGUCAGCUCGUGUCGUGAGAUGUUGGGUUAAGUCCCGCAACGAGCGCAACCCUUAAGCUUAGUUGCCAUCAUUAAGUUGGGCACUCUAAGUUGACUGCCGGUGACAAACCGGAGGAAGGUGGGGAUGACGUCAAAUCAUCAUGCCCCUUAUGAUUUGGGCUACACACGUGCUACAAUGGACAAUACAAAGGGCAGCGAAACCGCGAGGUCAAGCAAAUCCCAUAAAGUUGUUCUCAGUUCGGAUUGUAGUCUGCAACUCGACUACAUGAAGCUGGAAUCGCUAGUAAUCGUAGAUCAGCAUGCUACGGUGAAUACGUUCCCGGGUCUUGUACACACCGCCCGUCACACCACGAGAGUUUGUAACACCCGAAGCCGGUGGAGUAACCUUUUAGGAGCUAGCCGUCGAAGGUGGGACAAAUGAUUGGGGUGAAGUCGUAACAAGGUAGCCGUAUCGGAAGGUGCGGCUGGAUCACCU